rnacentral:RNase_P_RNA from 3 species
CCGGGGGGCCGGGCAGCCGCGUUGCCGCAAGGCAUCGAGGAAAGUCCGGGCUCCGCGAAACAAGGGUGGCGGGUAACGCCCGCCGGGCGAAGGUCUACGGGCCGAAGUCUAGGGAUAGUGCCACAGAGAGCAAACCGCCGAUGGAGGGCAACCUCACAGGCAAGGGUGAAAGGGUGCGGUAAGAGCGCACCGGGGGUCUGGCGACAGACCCCGCAUGGUAAACCCCACCCGGAGCAAGACCGCAUAGGGGUCUCGCGCCAACAAUUCUUCGGAUGCGGAGGCAGGAGCGUUUCGCUCCGAGAGGCCCGGGUUGGUUGCAUGAGCGCGUAGGAGCAAUCCUCCGCCGAGAUGAAUGGCUGCCACCGCGGCGCUGAUGUGCAAGCAUAUCGGCCGCGGGACAGAACCCGGCUUACAGGCCCCCCGGCAUC